UCGGGAAUUUUGGGCAAUGGGCGAAAGCCUGACCCAGCAACGCCGCGUGAGGGAUGAAGUAUUUCGGUAUGUAAACCUCGAAAGAAUGGGAAGAAUAAAUGACGGUACCAUUUAUAAGCUCCGGCUAACUACGUGCCAGCAGCCGCGGUAAUACGUAGGGAGCAAGCGUUGUUCGGAUUUACUGGGCGUAAAGGGCGCGUAGGCGGCGCGGUAAGUCACUUGUGAAAUCUCUGAGCUUAACUCAGAACGGCCAAGUGAUACUGCUGUGCUAGAGUGCGGAAGAGGCAACCGGAAUUCUUGGUGUAGCGGUGAAAUGCGUAGAUAUCAAGAGGAACACCUGAGGCGAAGGCGGGUUGCUGGGCCGACACUGACGCUGAUGCGCGAAAGCCAGGGGAGCAAA
rnacentral:rRNA from 1 species